rnacentral:lncRNA from 1 species
AGUUAUUUUAGGACGACGUAUCAUCAAUGCUAUGCACCUAUGUAUAUGACCUUGAUCACUCACUAGGCGCAUAAUAGGUGGAGAGUAUGUCUUGUCAUUUUCUUGGCCAUCCCCAUGCAUCCUAUCCCAUAGAUUGGUUGAUGCCCCAAUAAUUCACUAUAGUGGCUAAAAAUGCGUACAAGUUCGUAGUGGUACACCACUACGAUAUACUCAUAUUAGGUUGAUCUCCAUCAGAUUUGGCUCAAUGGCCAAGUCUGGGCCCUGAUCUGCACCCUAACCGAGGGCAUCCAACCUAGCAAGGUUGGUGGCCCCCCGUCGUGUAGUGCCGUAAAUAGGAGGUGGGGGCCAGGACACAAGGCACAAGGUUCACUACCGCCACACCCCACUAUCCUAACCCUAGUCCAAAUGAGGGGGCACUGCCAGAACAGGAAACGCCGCCAAUGCUGUCCUCACCACGCCGCCGCCCGAAACAUCACUGCCACUCUUUCACUAGACACCGACGCCAUGGUUGUGUCCUCCUUGGCCGAGCCCGAUGGUAUAUAUGCCUCCAUCUCCCUCCUCUCCUCUAUCUCUCCCUUUCCCCUCGAACCGAUCUUAUAUAGAGAUACAAAUGUUGCUAAUAUUUUCUACAAAAUCUAGUCAAAUUUUAAAAAAUUCUACAUACACGAGUUUCACAUCGACUUUUUUUUAUGUUAAUUAAGUUCAAUGUCAUGCUGCUGCAAGUAUUAUGUCGUACACUUCCCUAACUGUAAGAUAAAUCAUGAACUAUCCAACAUACUAGCUACUGUUUGUAAUGUUUACAGUUCCUAUAUAUAUAUAUAUAUAUAUAUAUAUAUAUAUAUAUAUAUAUAUAUACUUUACAUAAUCUGCACGGAGUAAUUAUCUAUGAAUAAAUAAAUAAAGUAAUGUUUGAGAAUUCCAUUUGGUUGCGGCGUCCUUGUCUGUAGUAUCAAAGGAGUGUAUGCUGGAGUUUCUUUUUAGGUAAGAGAAAGAGAAGGCCAGCUUGUUUUGCCCGUACUACGUGGAACCAAAAGGGGGAGCGCGACGACGAUCGACGAUGGAGGCCGCUGCUGCUGCCGAUCGCCCUCGCGAAAGCAUUUUGUUUGUUUGCUUCUCUUUAUCUAUCAGUCCACCCACCACUCUACAGAGAUAUCGAUAUCGAUACGAGAGAUAUCGGCCGGUGGCAAUAUAUAUCUAGAUAUAUGCAGACGUGUGUAUAUAUAUACGCGCGCAUACUAGCUAGAAGCAGGGGCAACACACACGUAUGGAACACCAUCAUAAACGGUGAAACAACGAUACAUACCUAGCUAUAUGCCGCUGUGUUGCGUAUGCAGCAUGUAUAUGUGCUGCCUCGUAUCUGGAACGACGAUACAUCUCUAUCCAUCUCUCGCGACUCGUUCUGCGUAUUAGCUAUAGGAAGGAAGGACGACGUCUAGAGACUAUAAAUAAAUAAAUACAGCAAAACAACAAAGCUACAAGCGUAUAGAGACUAGCUAGACUGCAGUGUGGCAGCAUGUGUGACAUGUGUAGUAUAUGCGGGACAGACAAUUUAUUUCCUGGUCGAAUUUUUGAUGGAAUUCCCGGUCGAAUCUGUAGCGCGCGAUAGCAGUUUUCUUGCCCUUUCCCUUUUUUCCCCGGUGGUUGUAAUAAUACAAAUAAAUAAACUAAUCCAGCAAAUCUCCUAUUGAGUUUUUAUUUAUUUCGUGAUUGAAUUUUAAUUUACCAAGUACUUGCUGCUUUCUUCGACAACAAACAAGUUUCACAGUAAUAAUGUUAGACAAGACAUGCAUGCAAUUGCCCACCAGAAUUAUUAUUGACCCGCGCGUUUUCCGAACGUAAGUAGUACCACCCACCAGACAUACGUACUUAUACUCUUACUAAAUUUGUCCUGUUUAAUGUCACUUCCUAGCUAGCUGGUACUGUCCACGUACCCACAUGUUGCGCAUAUCAUGAUUCAUGAACACAUAAUAAAAUAAAAAAAAGCAAACGGAAGGAAAAAUUUAAUAAUAAAUAGAAAAAGACCGAUCGAUGUGUGGAGAAGAAAAUAAUGCGAACGCGGCAAUUAUUUGUGAAAUCAUCAAGCGGCGUACGUAGUCACAUGGUGGCCAGCUAGCAAGAUAGCACCACGACGACAAGAAGACGAGCAAGGGGCGGUGGAGAGAUAGAGAGCUAGAGAGAGUGAGCGAUCAGAGAGGCUUACACGAAGGCGGAGGAGUAGGACCAGUUGGCGGUGAGGGGCACCUCCAGCGGCGGCAGCGCGUCGGUGAUGGUGAUCUGGAUGGUCCUCGUCUGCCGGUCCACGCCCAUCACCACGGCGGACACCAGCGUCGACGCCACCACGAACACGCGCAGCGCCACGCUGCACCCGUCCACCGGCGCCUGCGCCGCCCUGCCGCUUCCGCCCGCCGCUGCGCCGGAGCCCAUGUAGUAGCCGUAGCCGUAGCCGAGGCCGGGGCCGGGCCGGCGGCUGCUGCCGUUCACGGAGCCAGCAGCCAUGCCCACGCCGUUGAACCCCGGCUUCACCCGCGACGCCUCCAUGAGUUCUUGCUGGGUGAAGAGUAGGCGGGCGGAGCGCGGGGCGUGUGUGCCUGGCCUGUGUGCGGCAGAGAGCGUGGGAUGUAUGUAUGUGUAUGGUUGAUGAGGCAGGUGCGCCGUUG